AGCUGCCUGACGUCACCCAGUCAUUUGCAUAUUCCACCCAAUAGCGGACACCUGUGUGGGCUCAGCAGCGGGGCUGGGAGCCGGGGCGGAGGGAGUCCCGCAGCAGCCAGGCGGGCGCUCCCUCUCCAGGAGAGCCAGGGCUCGGAAGAGGAUUGGUUGGUCAUGGAGGUUCUGAGGGGCCUGAUGUGAAGACUCUAUAGAAAUGGACCAGAGAUACAAAGUAUAGAUCAGCUUCAAAGUUCACAGUGAGAUGGCUGGAGGGAAGCCUGGAAGGAUGUGAACAUUCAUGGAGGUCACAGCUCUUCAAGAAAAAAAAAUAUAUGAAACAAGAUCGAAAUGAGGCUCUAGAGCUGCAGAAAAAGGAAGGGAGAAAAAGAUACAUCCUUGGCUCCCAGUCCUCGUGUCAGCUACCAGUGAGUACUGAAGAAGAGCGAAGCCAAUUUUGCUACAACUGCUCUGUACUGGGACUAAAGCUUCCAGCACUCCCAGUGACUGCAGGGAUGAAGAAAAGCUCUGCUACCACUCUCAGCAGAGGAAAUUUUUGGUCAGUACUCCUCCUUUUCCAGUAUUAAAAAAUUAAAUUAAAUUAAAAAAAAACCCUUAAGCCUUCA